CCUACGGGGGGCAGCAGUGAGGAAUAUUGGUCAAUGGGCGAGAGCCUGAACCAGCCAAGUCGCGUGAAGGAUGAAGGAUCUAUGGUUUGUAAACUUCUUUUAUAUGGGAAUAAAGUGAGGAACGUGUUCCUUUUUGUAUGUACCAUAUGAAUAAGCAUCGGCUAACUCCGUGCCAGCAGCCGCGGUAAUACGGAGGAUGCGAGCGUUAUCCGGAUUUAUUGGGUUUAAAGGGUGCGUAGGUGGUUAAUUAAGUCAGCGGUGAAAGUUUGUGGCUCAACCAUAAAAUUGCCGUUGAAACUGGUAGACUUGAGUAUAUUUGAGGUAGGCGGAAUGCGUGGUGUAGCGGUGAAAUGCAUAGAUAUCACGCAGAACUCCGAUUGCGAAGGCAGCUUACUAAACUAUAACUGACACUGAAGCACGAAAGCGUGGGGAUCAAACAGGAUUAGAUACCCCUGUAGUC
rnacentral:rRNA from 1 species